GACGAACGCUGGCGGCGUGCUUAACACAUGCAAGUCGAGCGGUAAGGCCCUUUCGGGGGUACACGAGUGGCGAACGGGUGAGUAACACGUGGGUGACCUGCCCUUAGCUCUGGGAUAAGCCUGGGAAACUGGGUCUAAUACCGGAUAUGACUCCAUGACGCAUGUUGUGGGGUGGAAAGCCUUGUGCGGCUAGGGAUGGGCCCGCGGCCUAUCAGCUUGUUGGUGGGGUGAUGGCCACCAAGGCGACGACGGGUAGCCGGCCUGAGAGGGCGACCGGCCACACUGGGACUGAGACACGGCCCAGACUCCUACGGGAGGCAGCAGUGGGGAAUCUUGCGCAAUGGGCGAAAGCCUGACGCAGCGACGCCGCGUGAGGGAUGACGGCCUCGG
rnacentral:rRNA from 1 species